rnacentral:rRNA from 1 species
UACGAACUGCGCAAACGUUAUUCGGAAUCACUGGGCUUACAGGGUGCGUAGGCGGCUGGCCAGGUCCGAUGUGAAAUCCCACAGCUCAACUGUGGAAUGGCAUUGGAAACCGGUCGGCUUGAGUGAGCUAGAGAUGCACGGAACUUCCGGUGGAGCGGUGAAAUGUGUUGAGAUCGGAAGGAACACCAGAGGCGAAAGCGGUGCAUUGGAGCUUGUCUGACGCUGAGGCACGAAAGCCAGGGGAGCGAACGGG